GACUGCGUGUCCCUCCCCCUACUCCCUACAGCAGAGAUCUGCAACCAGUGGGGGAAGGGCUCAUGGGCUUAGCCAAUUUUUUUGGACACAGGCAGCCCAACAAUAAAUAACAGGGGUCGCAUCUGACCCAAUCAGUGAGGGCCACAACAGUUCAGAAGAAUUGCUUCCCCUUCUGCACCAGUUGCCCAGCAACGGCAGGGGAGGGGCAACACAGACUGUGGGACUCUCCUACCCGCAGAGCACCAUCAAGAACUGAGUGGGGCUACAGUGGGCAGGCACUUUACACACCUGUGAACCACAGACCUAACCAGAGAUCUUUGAAGAUCUAAAUUCCAGAUUUUCAUCCAAGGCCUGGUGACUACUUGGUGAACUUCAGACUUGAAACAGUGAAAUUCUAGAUGGCCACGCACAUGAAACCUCGGAUGGAAGCAGUUUCUGCAAGCUGGCACUGCAUCCCCCUCGAGAAGCCACCUGUUGCUGAGAAGCCACCUCUUGUGGAACCCUGUCUUGACUGCCAUUCCCAGUGAUGCCCCUUUUCAGCAUGAAGCAGCCACAGUGGUCAUCGCCCAGUUCCCCUAACAGAAGUUAGGGUAUAUUCUUCUACGGGGGAGAGGGUGGUAGAGGAUGUGAGGAGUAAGAUGGGUUAGUGGGCAGUCAGGGUAGUCCGGACAGAGUUGGGUUUUUUUGUUUUGUAUUGUGUUGUUUUGUUUUGUUUUGUUUUGACAGGCAGAGUUAGACAGUGAGAGUGAGAGAGAGAGAGAGAGAGAGACAUAAAGAAAGGUCUUCCUUUUCCGUUGGUUAACCUCCUAAAUGGCCACUGUGACUGGUGCACUGUGGCCGGCGCACCGCACUGAUCCGAAGCCAGGAGCCAGGUGCUUCCUCCUGUUCUCCCAUGUGGGUGCAGGGCCCAAGGACCUAGGCCAUCCUCCACUACACUCCCGGACCACAGCAGAGAGCUGGACUAGAAGAGGAGCAACCAGGACAGAAUAUGGCACCCUAAGCGGGACUAGAACCUGGGGUGCUGGCACCGCAGGUGGAGGAUUAACCAAGUGAGCCGCAUGUCGGCCCCGGACAGAGGUUUAAGGGUGCAAAAUACUUGCUUUCUCUGGAGGUUCUUUCGCAAGCUCAAAAGUGCCUGCCUGGCAUGGAAAGCCAAAACACUGUGGCAAAAAAUGAUCUAUAUGAAAGAUCUCUGAGUGAGAUCCCAGUGGAAAGAAGGGGCUAUCAAAAAAGGAUGUACUUUUCUCUGAAGGGAGGAGAGAACUUCCACUUUGCUUAUGGCCCUGUUUAAAUACUGAUGGAGUUUGUGGACUCAAAGGGCUUCCACAGCCUUGGCAGCUCAUGACAAGGGCCUUGGAUGAUCACUAAUGUCAUAAAUAAGAGUGUCAAUUGUUAAAUCAACAACAGGAGUCACUGUGCACUUAGUCCCCAUGUAGGACCUCUAUCCUUAAUGAGUUGACUAUGAGAAUUAACUGUAAAAGUUGUUUUCAAAUAGUAUUUUAUACUUUGUGUAUCUGUGGGGGUACAAAUUGUGGAAAUCUUUACUUAGUAUAGAGUUGGUCUUCAGUAUAUAAAGUUAAUUGAAAAUGAAUCUUAAUGAAGAAUAGGAUGGGAGUGGGAGUAGGA